CCUACGGGGGGCAGCAGUGGGGAAUAUUGGGCAAUGGAGGAAACUCUGACCCAGCAACGCCGCGUGAAUGAUGAAGGUCUUCGGAUUGUAAAGUUCUUUUCUAAGGGAAGAAGAAAGUGACGGUACUUUAGGAAUAAGCCUCGGCUAACUACGUGCCAGCAGCCGCGGUAAUACGUAGGAGGCGAGCGUUAUCCGGAAUGACUGGGCGUAAGGGGCGCGGAGGGGGUUUGGCAAGUUAGUAGCGAAACUCCAAGGCUCAACCUUGGAACUGCUAUUAAAACUGUUGAGCUUGAGUUCAGGAGGGGCAAGCGGAAUUCCUAGUGUAGCGGUGGAAUGCGUAGAUAUUAGGAGGAACACCAGUGGCGAAGGCGGGUUGCUAGACAGUAACUGACGCUGAGGCACGAAAGCGUGGGGAGCAAACAGGAUUAGAUACCCGGGUAGUC
rnacentral:rRNA from 1 species